rnacentral:rRNA from 1 species
UACGUAGGGUGCGAGCGUUGUCCGGAAUUAUUGGGCGUAAAGAGCUUGUAGGCGGUUUGUCGCGUCUGCCGUGAAAAUCCGGGGCUCAACCCCGGACUUGCGGUGGGUACGGGCAGACUAGAGUGUGGUAGGGGAGACUGGAAUUCCUGGUGUAGCGGUGAAAUGCGCAGAUAUCAGGAGGAACACCGAUGGCGAAGGCAGGUCUCUGGGCCACUACUGACGCUGAGAAGCGAAAGCGUGGGUAGCGAACAGG